rnacentral:rRNA from 1 species
AUUGAACGCUGGCGGCAUGCCUUACACAUGCAAGUCGAACGGCAGCGCGGGGGCAACCCUGGCGGCGAGUGGCGAACGGGUGAGUAAUAUAUCGGAACGUACCCAAGAGUGGGGGAUAACGUAGCGAAAGUUACGCUAAUACCGCAUACGAUCUAAGGAUGAAAGCAGGGGACCGCAAGGCCUUGUGCUCCUGGAGCGGCCGAUAUCUGAUUAGCUAGUUGGUGGGGUAAAGGCCUACCAAGGCAUCGAUCAGUAGCUGGUCUGAGAGGACGACCAGCCACACUGGGACUGAGACACGGCCCAGCCUCCUACGGGAGGCAGCAGUGGGGAAUUUUGGACAAUGGGGGGCAACCCUGAUCCAGCAAUGCCGCGUGAGUGAAGAAGGCCUCGG